rnacentral:rRNA from 1 species
UCAAAUCGGGUGAGACUACCCCGUUGAACUUAAGCAUAUCA